UACGGGGGGAGCAAGCGUUGUUCGGAUUUACUGGGCGUAAAGGGCGCGUAGGCGGUCAGCACAAGUCAGUUGUGAAGUCUCCGGGCUUAACUCGGAAAGGUCAACUGAUACUGUGCGACUAGAGUGCGGAAGGGGCAACUGGAAUUCUCGGUGUAGCGGUGAAAUGCGUAGAUAUCGAGAGGAACACCUGCGGCGAAGGCGGGUUGCUGGGCCGACACUGACGCUGAUGCGCGAAAGCCAGGGGAGCGAACGGG
rnacentral:rRNA from 1 species